AGGAAUAUUGCGCAAUGGGGGAAACCCUGACGCAGCGACGCCGCGUGAGUGAGGAAGGCCUUCGGGUCGUAAAGCUCUGUCAAGAGGAAAGAAGUGUACAAUGGCUAAUACCUGUUGUAUUUGACGGUACCUCUAAAGGAAGCACCGGCUAACUCCGUGCCAGCAGCCGCGGUAAUACGGAGGGUGCAAGCGUUGUUCGGAAUCACUGGGCGUAAAGGGCGCGUAGGCGGCUUGGUAAGUCAGAUGUGAAAGCCCACGGCUUAACUGUGGAAGUGCAUUUGAAACUGUCAGGCUUGAGUACCAGAGGGGAAAGUGGAAUUCCCGGUGUAGAGGUGAAAUUCGUAGAUAUCGGGAGGAAUACCGGUGGCGAAGGCGACUUUCUGGCUGGAUACUGACGCUGAGGCGCGAAAGCGUGGGGAGCNAACAGGAUUAGAUACCCUGGUAGUCCACGCUGUAAANCGAUGUGAACUAGAUGCAGGGGGUGUUGAUCCCUUCUGUGUCGCAGCUAAACGCAUUAAGUU
rnacentral:rRNA from 1 species